GGGGUGCGCGGGGACCGUGGGGUGGGGGAGCCUCGGCGGUGGCGACAGUGGGGCAUCGCGGGCGGUGACUGUGGCGAGGGGACACUGAUCAGGCAUUUCCUCUGCUGCCCAAAAUAGCCGGGAAGUGACCCGCGGUCGCGCAGAGCCGCGCGCUCCGUGGGCAGGCACAGGUGCCAUGCGGGGGAAGAAGGGAUGGGGACGACAGGAAGACAAGGUCAGGGAUGGUCUAAGGCAAAACACUGCCGUAGUUGAAAUGAGUGCUGUCUCGUGCCCUCUGCUCCCCAUCCUUACAGAACAGAGCCUGUUGUGUGGAACCUGUUCAGGCUGGAGAUGGUGGAAAGGCUAAAGUUCAAGUUCACAGACCCAAAAAAGAGAAGAGCCAGAGCUGGAGUUUAAGAAUUUGAGGAAACGUGAUUAUAUCUGUUUAUCAAAAUUUAGUCUCUCCACCUGAUGCUAAAUAACAAGGCAACAGGAGGUGGCUCUCCCAGAUCACAGACAUCAUCUGCUCCAGCAAUCGAUACUCCGCUUGUGUCUCUAGUGCCUCCAGUGCAUCUCGUGCAGCCUGGCAGUAGCUCUCCUUACAUCUGCUGUUUGUGAGGCAGGCAGAGAGCCGAUCACAGAGGGAGAACAACACCAGGCACAGGAGUCACUCUUACCUCCACUUCUGUUACAGCCAAGGAGGAUGAGAAACAUGCUCUUUCCCCUCAGGCAGCCGGAGGAAAAAGAAACCAGAGAGGACCACAAAACCAUCCCAGUACAACAUCUGUGAGUACUGCGCGCCGCCUCUAGUGGGCUGGGACACAAGCACAUGAAGAUAACCCUGUGUGGCAACUUUGCAUCAGUUGUUCUGUGGUUUGCUUUCACAUGAGAGGAAUUAAAUGCAAGCUGACACAA